AGCAGCUGAAAUAAAAUGCCUUGUCCUGCAGUCCCUGCUCCCUCAGCUGUUUGUGUAGCACUGAGGGGCCACCAGCACCCCCUGCAUGUGCUGUGGCAUCCCAGGCACAGCCUGAGCACUGACUACCUUCCCCUCUGCCAUUUACAAGCCUUUGUUUUAGAUUUUCUGGGCUCCAGCUGGAUCUGAGAGCUCUGAGCAGCUGUGAAGCUGUAUCUGACUAGAAUACCGUGACUGCUUUGCCAAUGCUAAUGAGAGAGAACAUAAAUGUUUAGGAGAUUUGUAGCUGUAGGAGUAAGGUGGCACACAAAUUUGAAGCUGAGAAUGGUUCUUGUAGGACCAGAACUUUACUUUUGGCUCAGGAAGAGGCCACAAGAUGCAUUGUUUGUUACUGAAGUUGUAGUCCUGGUGUCCUGCGUGACUUUCUCCAGAAGAGAGGUGCUUCUCAAAACUCUCUGGCUCUUUUCAGUCAAACUCUGAUCUUCCAGCUAUGCGCUUGUGGCUGCUGCUUCUCGUGUGGCUGUGCACCUCUUGGAGAAGUCUGGCUCCAUCCUCUCUGUACCUCCCCUUUCGAUGCACCUGCUGGAAUGGCAGCAAAGAAGAAAGAGCGAAAGCAAGGAGGGAAAAAUGCUUUGUGUUGCUUAAAUCUGCAACACUCAUAUCCAGGCUGAAUAAAUCCUUCGACGGCAUUCUUUGCUCGUGGCUGUUUGAUGUGCUUCCAGCAGCUUCAAACACAGGAGGCAUCCAAACUGCAAAGAGCCAAAAUGGCAGAAACGCCACUGUGGCAGGAGCCUCGAACAGCAGCGGGGCAGGCUGGCAGCACCUUUCAGGACUGAAGAUGCUCACCCAGCAGGCAAGGGGGUUUCUGAAUCCCUCUGCUCCUCCGUGACGUGGCAGUGCUUGGAGUGCCUUUCUUAGCUUGGACUUUAUUAAGCUGCUCCAAACCAACAAGCCAAGCUCCCCACCAGCAUUUGACCACUGUGCCAAGAGGAAAAUAAUGAGGCCAAAAGCACUGCACAGCAGAAACAUGUGGGACUACAAAGAAGUUGGGAUUGCCAGAGAGUCCGUCACGGUCAUGUCAGGGAGUUAGGGAUGAUGCUACUGCAGUGUUUGUUGAGGCUGGUGGAGGAGAUAUGUGGCUGGUGGCUGUGAGCACCUUCCUUGGACAAACAGCGAUACCUCUGAUCAGCUUUGGCCACUUCUGAGUGCCACAGGAGGUUGGGGAGCCCAGCUCAGCUGGCUAGAGGGCAGCCACAUGCCUCCAGGGUUGAUGCCGUCACUUCUUUCCGAGCCCUCAGCUGGCUGCAGCACAUUGAUGUCCCCAGAAACCAAGGAUGCCCCCAGCAAGUCUCCUUUUGGCCACUUUCUCCUUCUGCUUGCCGAGCCUGCUUUCCUUCAGCCCUUGUCUUUCUCCUUUGCUUGGUCCUCUGACUUCAGAACGUGGCUUUCCUUUUUAGUUCCCUUCUGUGUUUAUUCUGGGCCAAACUGCCCGCAUACUGGAUGAGGAUGCUUCUGAGUGGAGUGACUUAGGAGUUUUGAAUAAAACAGCUCUUGUUGAAAAUGCUGGUUUAUCAAAAACAACUUUUUAUUUCCCAUAAGAAUGUGGGCUUUUUUUUUUCCGGAUAAAAGUGUCUAUAGGAAGCAUUUCUUGAAACCCAGAAGACUAAAAGCAGACCCUUGCCAAGGACUAGAGAAUUUGAGGAUGAGUGAAGAGAGUCAUUGUUUCUUGCUGUUCGUCCCAGACUCUUUCUUCAUUUCUUAUGCCUGCAUAAUGGGAAGUACAUGAGGUUUGCUACUGCCCCUGCUGAACUGUGGUGUGGAUAGACUUUGUCUUCCUCAGCUAGCAUUCUGUCACCUUUCAAGAGGGAAAAAUUCAUUUAAAAACAAAAAUCCCAAGUAAGAAACCUCAAAUAAUUGUAGGAAACCACCACAGAGGUAUACAAUAUCCAGCUGAAGACCUUGUUGAAAACCGAACAGAUUAUGCUUCUUAUAUGUGGUUAAACUGUGCCAUUAAUGUUAAAACUGUUCAAAGCACAAAAUAAAUUCUGAUUUUUUUCUGUCAAAGUUUGUGGUUCGAUGUUCACACAUUCUAGGCUCCAGUUAAAUGAUUUACUGUACAAUUUAAUGUCUUUCAGCUGUCACUUGCAUAAAAGAGAUCCCUUGAAUGAUCUGCCAGCAAAUGAAGGCAACACUUGUCCAGGGUGGAGGUUAGCCAGGCCUGGAAAACCCAACUUGCCAAGAUAUGCAGAAGCAAUCACGUCAGCCACCAUGACCCAUACGUGGAACCCAGAAAACAUACGUGGUGGUACACAGCCACACGGCUGUGAUCAGAUCUGCAAAAACACUUCAUUUAAAAUACACUGAGCCUUUCACUCUCUCUUUGCAGUGGUUCAUACUGUAGGCAUGCUGCUAUUCUUUGUCCUUCUUUUGAACUUUUCCCUGUUCCUGAGCUUCAAAUGGUGUGAUUUUUUGAAGUUUUUCUCAAAAUUCCUUCACAAAAGCUUUUUAAAAUCCCGAUUCUCACAUACCAGCAUAUGGAGGAGAAACAGUUACCAUGGGACUGUGAAAAACAUACCUCAGGAGCUCAGGAGCAAGGGAGGAAAUAAAAAAGCCAUGGGUCUUCAGAAAUUACACGUUCUGUUGUUUGGCACUUUAGGUUCUUGGCUUUGCCACUAGCUGGGGUGCUGCCGUGCCUCUUGUGCACAGGGCGUGGGGGCAGGAGCAACACCCGGCAGUGACCCCAGCCACCGACCUGCUCCAUCCACCUCUGGGACGUGGCAGCAGCUCUGCAACGCGGGGCAGCACUGCCCUGACGUGCUCUGCAGGACAGAGGGAGGAGAAUGAGGAAGUCAUGUGAAACCGAAGAGUACACCUGGAUUGGGAUUUGGCCCUAGUUCUGGGAUUAUUAACCAUUUAGUACAUUUAUGGCCAGCACGAGCUAUUAGACGAAA